rnacentral:rRNA from 1 species
UAGGGAAUAUUGCACAAUGGAGGAAACUCUGAUGCAGCGACGCCGCGUGAGUGAUGAAGGCCUUCGGGUCGUAAAGCUCUGUCGCAGGGGAAUAACACAAUGAAGGUACCCUGUAAGAAAGGAUCGGCUAACUUCGUGCCAGCAGCCGCGGUAAGACGAGGGAUCCUAGCGUUGUUCGGAAUCAUUGGGCGUAAAGCGGGUGUAGGUGGCUUUGUAAGUCGAGUGUGAAAGCCUGGGGCUCAACCCCAGAAGUGCAUUCGAUACUGCGAAGCUUGAGUGGUAGAGAGGUUAGUAGAAUUGUUGGUGUAGUGGUGAAAUACGUAGAUAUCAACAGGAAUACCGGAGGCGAAGGCGGCUAACUGGCUACACACUGACACUCAGACCCGAAAGUGCGGGGAUC